ACCUAGGUUAAGUUCUUGAAGAGAAUGCCUUACCUCAUGUAUGAGCAGAUYCAGUCUUUCAUAUUCUGUAAAACAAAUCAGUUUAGUAUCAGUGAGUAUCAUUCCACUGAUGGUGGAAGGAAUAAAAUAUCUGAUUUUCCUGUCUUCUGAAAGAUUUUUUCUUUAUGUUGUCUAGCUYUGCCUUCAUCCUCGAGAGAUACCAUGUGGCAUGAGGCAAGUGUCUCGGGUAUCCACUACUGCAUAAAUAUAAAGGAAAUUAUAAACUUUGUGUAUCUUUAUGCACUGAAAGCAUUUCUAUGCCUUCAUGUCAUAGUAGGAAGGAUACGGAGGAUUUAUCCUGUGACAUAGAUGAGUGGAAGACCUGUGCACAUCCAUGCUGUUAGGAAGAAAAGCAAAUUCUGCCUUAUAAUUUGGAAAUAAUGGCAUUUUGCAACCUGACAAAGUAUCCUAAAUGGCACAACACGAUCAAUAUAUUGUAACAUUCCAGCAAGAUCUUUUUUUCUUUGUACAAAAUAAUGCAUACAUCUAUGUCUCGUGUAUACUAGAGACCCCUCACUGCAAAUUUCAGAUCGCAUCCCUGCAAAAAAACAGGUAUGAAAAUAWCUAAUUCUAUUGAAAUUGGUGAACAUAGGGGGAAAAAUCCCUCAAACAUAAACCCAUAGCCAUCACACUGUCUUGUGACAAAUUUGAAGCCUGCUCUGUUUUGACUGACCUUGUCUUCCACAGCUUAGGAGACUCCUUCCCCAGUGAGUGAGUAUUUGAAUUGCAGCUCUAAUAGCAUAUGGAGCAUGUUGUCUGCAGUUAUGACAAAAGCAAUCUCCACAUUGGGGUGCAGGCCAUAAUGGACAGGACUUUGGGGAGGUAACAUUUUAUCCGUAUUUUUAUGGUAACUUUCAUAAUUCAGCUUCGAAGAGACUGCAAACACAGAGGCAAGCACCGACUUCCUAUCAAACUGUCAAAAAAAUAAUAAAAACCUUGUCACUAAGACACUGCUGGCAAUCCUCACUAGACAGAAUAAGGAACCUGCUUAGGCAUAAAUGAAAUUGUUCUAUUAUGGAGUCAUUGUUGAGAACAAGACUUUUAUAUCACCAUUAUAUCCGUGGAAAUUAAUCUAAUUUGUUCCCCAUUUUAAUUAGCUCCUUUAUGUCACACCCAAGUCCCGAUGCUUGCAAGAAAAAAAAAAAAGAUGAAUUUUUUAAUAAUCAGAUUAUCCUUGUGAAAGAAAACAGCAGAAAGAUAUUUUAAUUCAAGKAUAAAGAGACAGAAAUAUUUUUAAAAGAAAAAUGUUAUUUCUUCCAAAUUAUGAAGUGCUGCUCUCUGGUGUAACAUUAUUAUUCUGUAGCAAUAAGGAGCAACUUAUUAAAUGAAGCAAUUUAUGGUAGCAGCUCUCAAAAACACAAACCUCUAUUGAAAUGAAAGCAAGUAAUGGCAUAAGGACUGUAAAAUAAAAAGGCAGAAUAUCUUCUUUUAGACCAUUACAAAAAUGCAUGUAUUGUCUAUUUGAAAAUCAAUACAGUUCCAUAAAAUAAAAUGGAGCUGUGGUAUCAUCAUCAUAAUUUCUAUUUCAAAUGGUUUGCUGAGAGCCAAAUUGUGUCUUUUAUGGAAAAAGAAUGACAAAUGGUUUAAUUCAAUAUCACACGCAUGUGUAUAUAUGAGCUGAAAUUCUGCUACAACUCAAAGCUGUUAGGCAAAUAUUUUAGUAUCACCAUAAGUUUAAAAACAACAGACAAGUGGGAGUACAUCCAUUUAUUUACACUUGUACUGACUUAAAAUUCAAAAUGCUAUUUGAUGCUUUUAAAGUACUGCUGUGGGAUGUUAAAUUACUGCGGAAUUCUUACUGUUCCGAGAUACCUUUCAACCUGCCAAGAUGCAUGAUGAUGAUAAUAAUAAUAAUAACAGCAGUAGUGUGGGGGCCUUUAAAAUAAUGUGGCGCUUAUUUCUGUAAGAUAAAUACCAUUUUCACUAACCCCUGUUUUAUGAUUCAGCAUUUCUGAUGCAACAAAGUGAAAUAAUGAAAGUAAAACAACAACAGGUUUGUGUGGGAUGAGAAAGGGAAAACGAGCACGUGCAUUGUCAGAAUUUCUGCAGAAAUUGCAGGGAAAAAAAAAAGCUCAUGUAAGUAGCGCUUCGCUCUCUCUUUCCCCCGGGGAAAAUUCCUCCUCUUGUUUUUAGUGUUCGCUACAUUUCCUUCUUUUAUUCCUUUUUCUGAUCUCGUCCUUUUGUUCCCCUCGUCUGGUGUCGGUCCUCCCGCAGCGGGAGCUGCCGGCAGCGGGGCCGGAGCGCGGCGGCCGCGGGGCGCUGCAGGCACAAACCCCGGCUCGACGGGCGGAAGCCUGGGGUUGCCGUCGACCGAGUCGCCUCAGCCCCGCAGGUCGGUGACCUCUGGCUCCUGCCCAUGUCACAUCCCUGUCCUCCGGGUGGAAACUGCAGAAGAAAGCGCAGGAUGCGCCUUGGUUUUGCUGACACCGCUCCAGCCGCGCUGGCUCCCGCACUGAAUCCUGGUAAAAUGCAGUAUGAGAUUUAAGGUUAUUGUCUGUCUCUCUCUAACUUMUGACAUCUCUUUAUAAGAAGAAAGAGUCACAGCCAACUGUAACAGGAGGGCAACACAAUAAAUCCUGAGAAACAUACUGUWCACAAAUCAGAAGGGUUUUAAAGCACUCUGAUGAUGGAAGAGAUAURCAAGUACAACUGAUAUUACCUGAUGACAUUUGCUUACUGCUUCUCAGCCAGAAGAAUAUCCCAAAGCAAAUUACUGUCAGAAGCCAAAAAUUGUAUCCAUAAUUCAUCCUAAAGMACUGUCAACUUAAUUUUAAAGUAAUUUUUCUGCUUUCUGAGUUCAGGCUGCAGUGGUAAGGUUGCAAAUCCAUAAAUCAAACUACAGGAAAUAAAGGAAAUACAUACCUCCAUUCUCCUAAAACUUCAUUGUAAGCAUAGUUUUUAUUAAUUUUAAACUUCAAGUACUAGAAAGAAACAAAAUUGUGAACUCUCUUGUGUACAGCUGUACACAUCUGUUUUGUGACUCCCAAGCCAUCUUCUGGGCUAUAGAGAAGUUUUUGUAGGUUUAUAAUAGCAGAAAUAAAUUUAGAUUGUGUAUUGCUCUGAGCACAGAGAGGAGCACAUGUGUGUAUUUGGGURUUAGGCUCAGCCUGGUGAGGCCUGUAAAAGGCACACUGUGCUGUGAGAUCUCCUGCAUUUGCAAGUGCUGUUCCAGGGCCCUGUGCAGAUUUGAGGACACUCAUGAAAUGUCCUCAGUUUCCAAAUGUUUCCAAACUCACCUCAUACAUCUCCAGUGGCAGUGUUGCUGAUUCAAGUUCUUUAGCUCYAAGAGACACAUCAGAGAGCAGGUGUGGAAGCCUUGUGUGGAGAAUCACUCAAAGCCUGGUGCAUCCUGAGUCCCUGAGUGCAAGAAGAGCAGCCUGGCAGYGAGUGUGAGCAUGCUGUUGUUUCUGCUUUUCCACACACUGGGGCAAAUCAUGCAGAAUUCCUUGUCCCAGGACUCAGUUUAUCUCCACAGAAGGAGCGGAGCCCCAGUGUGUGUCCCGGCUCAGAACUGCCACCAGCAGCCACUGAACAGCAGCCACGUUCUGAAUCUCAGCACACCACGAAAAUCCUCCUUUAAUCAAAUGCUCCUGGGGGAGCAAGGAAUUCAAGAUGCACUUCCAACCUGGGCUGGUGCACAGCACUGGGUCAUACUURGCAUGAAGAGAUUUCUGCUUGUCGCUGCAGUGUGACGGUCGGUGGACACUAACAAGCAAAACCAACAGGCAGCACAUGAAGUAGCAUAGGAACGUAAGGGCAGUGAGAAGAGGCGAAGCUACAGGACUGAGUGGGGCACUGUGGUGGCUGGAUUAGAGAGCAUUUUGCUUCUCAGCUUGAAYUGUUUAAUUAAGGAAUUUCACAGUAAUUUUGACUAAGCUUAAUGAGUAACAAAUUCAGUGCCCUGGCUCACUAAAAUCUUUCUUGCUGUCUGAAUAAGCUGCAAAGCUUGGAGCUGGAGGAAUUCAGUGCCUUAACUGCACUUUCUCUCCAGCCUGCACUGUAGGCAUUUUGUGAGAACAUGGAGCUCUAUGUCACAGCACCUUUUUUUCAUGGGUUAAGCCAGACUGUUGCAGCACUCCCAGGUUCUGCUGCCCAGGCACUUUCUGCUGAAACAAUCCCUUGGUACGGUUGAGGGUCAGUCACACGGUGCUGGUUGGAUUAUGUGCUGCCUGUUGUGUCCACAAAGRUAUGGGAAUAUAGCAAAGACAAGAGAGUAACAAAGCUUUAGUGGUUUGCUGUCCCAGACAGUCAGUGGAGUAAGCUGGAACAAACUGCAGAAACUCUGAGUUAUUUCCUCAGCUGUCCAGCAUUCAGGGAGAUCCAGAGCACGRGGACUGUUGCUGCCACUGACGCCAUUGCCCUCCUUCUCCAGACUGGAUUUUUGGCCAAAGUUAAUGAUUCAUAAGAUUCUGUGCUGGUUUCACUGUGAGCUUCCACAUUUGCAUAAGUAAAAGCUUCUGCUGCUUCUGUAGGGAGAUUCUUAGUGAUAUUGCAGCACAAAACAUUGAUAUUAUGUAAUUAUGGCAGUUCAUCUUAACUUAAAUGAAAUUGUUACUUUAAACUUGCUCUAAGUGGCUCACAAUGUAACUUUUGUAUGACACACCUACAAAACAAAUGAGUUAAUCACAAUAUAUGUCAUUUUUAAUUUUUCUCUUUCAUUUUUCUUUCAGUCAUUCUCUCUUUGUAAUUAGCAUGAAGACUACCCUUCAGUCAAAACUAGCCACCUGGAAAGYUUCAGCUUGUAAUAUGCAGCUUUUUUUUGUGAAUUAUGAAUGUGCAAAAAAGAGACCUUUCUCCUUACACCCACUUCCUUGCAUAAUUCAAAUAUGAAUGAAUGAAUUUUAUUCAGGCUUGCAAAAAAAAAAAAAAAGUCAUAUUUCAGCUGAUAACAAGCAUGAAAAAUUUCAGACGAAAGGGAUUUUUUUUAAAAAAUAAUAUUCUGAGCAUGGGAGAACAGCAGGUUAAGACACAAGUCUCAGUGCAGCCUUAACUAUAACAAUUGCUAUCAAGCAAAUACUAUAACCAAGCACUAAAUCUUCCUUUGUGCUGCCCUGGUGCACAGUAACAGGGACAGAGUAGAAUAAUAAAAGCUGGUCCCCUUAUGCAAACAGCAGGGCACAGCACUUGACAGAAUACAAGAAGAAGGUGAGCCUGCCUACUGUUCUGGCUUGCUAACCAUAUUCCCAAGAUCUGUGGGUUAGUUGUCAUCUCUACUCUAAUCAGAUAGCAAAAGCUACUUCAAACACUAGCAAAGGGCAUAUUUUGGUCCUUCCCAGAAGAACAUUUUACCAAUUCUUUGCCUCCAAAUAUACUAUUUGAUUAAACAAAGUGUUUGAAGGAAUUCAUAUAAGCAACCUGAUGGUUCAACAAGUCAAAAAGGGAAUGGAAUUAGUGUCAGGCUUUUUUCUGAUUAACCGUGUAUUUUAAAAAUAUGUAUCUGCGAAGAAGGUAUUAUCUGUGCAAAGCARAAUGAGAUUUGGGCUCAUGCCAGUUCCACUUUGAAAAUAAACUAUCCCAGUGAAGUUACCCUCUGGAACAUUUYUGUAUCACGUUCUCUCUUGUUCCUAAUAAUGAUUUGGGGAUAAGUCCAGCUCUCCUUUUCUACCCAGAAAACAGGAUUAAAAUUCUUGUUCAUUUGCUGUGUCUAUUUAAAAAAUUCCCAUUACAAUGGCUAAACAGUAGUGAAUAYUUAAGUAUUACCUUGCAGAUUCGCAGAUCCACGUCGAUUAGAGGAGCAAUAGACAGGAUUUGCAAGUGGCAAGGCUGGACACAAAAAAUUCCCUUCCAGUCUGAUGUGAGUUGACUGUUGCAAGUUGAGCUUGGCAGCAAGUGACCAAAAUUGAGUUGUCAGCAUCCUCCUGCRUAGUGGAAGAAGUUGUUGCUUUCUUGUGCAGAUGCAAGAGUUUCUGUGGGAAAACAGRACAUAAUCACAGUUCUGAAUGUCUCUGUGGAUUGGUAAUGUCUCUAAUACAUAGGUCACUUGUGCAAAUUCAGUCCCAGCUGGAUGGGAAAUUAUUGAAAAUGGUUGUUUUUUGAUUGAUAUAAAAUGAGUUGUCAGCUUGGUUCAAUACUCCAGGGCAGAUGUCCAUAGCAUAAUUGGCACCUGUCAGAAGCAAAGAAUUCCUUGGUACAGAGUAACAACUACUCAUGCUACCACCCAAAACAGUCCUUGAGUGCCAGGGCUUAGAGAAGAAGGCAGAAAAAGAAAAAUACUUUUGGGCAGGAUCUUUUAUGCCAUAAAGUCAAGAAGAGGUUUGACAUGCCACUUGGGGCAACCUUUUCCCUGGGAUCCUGGCUAGACACUCUCAGCUCUUCUGCUGUUUGGUCAACACUUUCUCUAAGAAUUAGAAAAAAACWCACAUUUGCUUACUUAUUGUUAUGGUAAACAAUAUUUUUUAUUGUUUACCAUAACAAUAAGUUUUUAUUUAUAAAGACCAGUUACUAAAGAAAUUUUUACAUGUUUGCUCAUUGUAAAAAAAGCUGUAAAUAAAGUAGUUUUUGUAUAUCUUGAGAAAUUCUCCUCACAAAAAUACAACUAGAAAAAGAAGAGAAUAUCUUCUUAGCAAAAAUAAGUCAAAGAAAYAGCCAGCACUGACAGUACCGCAGUGUCAGUAUUACACUGUUCGUUGAUAGUAAACAGUGAUCCAUUGUUUACCACAGAAUGGAUUAAAAUGGAUUUUUUCCUGUAAGUCACUAAAUAGCUGUCAUAUGGUCAUUACUGCCUUUGACCAAGUAGGGUACAGCUAACAACAGGAAUGAAUUCUACUUCCCAUCACCAAUCUGUUGAGCUGGCCACCUUCUUCAUGGGGCCGGUGCUUUGGGAGGUACCAGCUGAAGGACUUUCCAUUAAAACUCAUUUUACUGUCUUCAUCUAGUGCAUGGCUCAACUUUCCUUCUUUCCUUUCAUCUCUGUUUCCUCCUUUAGAUUAUUUUUCAUUAUGCCUCCCCCCCAGCAUACCCACACUUUGCCUUUCAUCUCUCUACGUAUGCUAUUCCAGCACUUGUCAAGCCCAGCAGGAGGCACAUGGGAGAACCAAACAAUAUGAUAUGUUAGGUGGAAGAAAAUAUUAGAACAAUCAUUUAUUGUCACACUUUAAAGAGGUCUGCUAUGUUAUUUAUUUUAUUAUUCUGUAUUAGGUACAUGGUUUAGUUUUACAGGCAUUAUUAAUCACUAAAAUACAUUACACUUUCAGCCAGGAUGUGAACAUUUUAAAAGCAUUCAUCUUGCUUCUUUAAACAGAAACAAUGGGCCCUCUGCACUGCCCUCCCUCCCUUUUAGUCAAUAAAUCCUUUCUAUUGAUUCAGGAAAUAACUGUUAAACCCUGUUUUAUAUUUUAAGUUUCACUAGCCACAGUCAGCCAUAUAAUUUUGCUUAAUAACAAAUGGAUCCUCUAUUUUUGCUGUUUASUAGGUGUUUGGAUAUCAAACUCAGCUUGAAAGUAUUGGGUAGAAGAGGACAAAACCUAUAAUGGCAGUGAGCCACCACAAGAUUUCCUAAAUGAGUGCUGCAAUAAAAUGAAGUAUCUGUAAAAAGUGUAUAUAUGUGUGUGUAUAAAAAAAMCAGUCAUAUCAGUAGAUGAGUGAUGAAUGAAAAAAAUCUGUCAAUGAGUAUGGAUUCCCUUGAGCCAGCCUGGAUCAACAGAAAAUACAGAUUUUCGAUAAUUCAUGGCUUUGGUAUUAUUUAUUCUCUUCUGAAAUAUCCAUUGCAAAUCUCAGAAAGAUAAUUAGGGAAUUAUCAUAAGUAGUGCAAAUUGUGUUAGAUUCURUGUAUCCCAACCCUGGUCAGAAUCAUUAGUAUUGUUUAAUURUUACAAAUAUAGUCAUUGCAUUUUAAUAAAUUGCCUUCGUUGUCAAUAUCCACAAUCGAUUACUUCUCUUAAUGUUCGUGGAUAGGUUAGUUACCAGGUAAUCUUACAGUUAAUAUGUACAACAAGRAAGCAAAAAUGUAAGAAAAUGCAAAGGUCAAAACCAUGUUUCUAUUAUGAAAAAAAUGAAUGAUAAUGACAUAAUUUUUUCAGCUCAUCAGGUUCUUUGCUAAGUGCCUCUGUUAUUGCCAGAUCAGUAGUGURUAACAAAGAAGUGCUUUCUGUAGGCUGCUUCAUUAGCCUGCCCUGUAGGACCUCACCUCAGACCUUUCACUAAUCUGUUGGCCAGCUCAAUAGCCUUGUUAGUUCUAUUCACUUCUUCCUGGCAGCGGAUUUUCUCAGCUGUAGCUCUCUCAAAGGCAGUGGUUAAGGCAGCCAGGAUUGUGUCUAGUUCCUUCAAAUAAAARCAGUAACAAACAACUCUGGACAUUGUAAGAACGCAUAAAAAUAUUUCUGCUAUCCCAUUUUAUAUUGCUGAAAGUUGAAUUACACAGUGCAAGAAAGGUGUAAACAUUAACUGUGCUCAGAAUUUUGUUUAGGUCAUGGUCCAAAGGUGGAUUCAGGAAAACCUGGGUAAAAAUGGGGCUGGUCUCCUGAUUUCACCCACUUGUUCAGAACAGCCUUCAAAAUGAAAUUACAAACUUGAUCUUAUAUCAGUAAAAAAAGGAAUGUCCCCUUCUCCCUGAGGAUUCUGAAAUGAAAUUAAAUAUGCUUCUUAUUACAGCUGUAUAUCCUGUAUAGGKGAACCAAAAUUUGAAAAGACAGCUGUUUGGAAACUAAAGAAAACGAGGGGUUAAGGAUGAUAGAUAAAAUACUUGAAAAUGCCCAAGUCUGUAUCCUUUGCUGACUUUCAGUUAGAUUAUGCUYCCCAGUGCACAAACUGUUUCUGAAAACAGCCAGAAAUCCUCAGCCACCUCAGAUUUGGGAGCAAGCAGCUGCUGAUGUCUGAUACAUCAAAGCAUUUAAGCACACAAACAGUCCCACUAGGUCAAAGCCUUAGUUAUUCCCAGAGGGAGGAGUGGAAGAUAAUUCAGCAUGGAUGACUGAGCACGAAGACAAGGCAAGAACGACGUGCAGCUCCAGAGAGUCACAGCCAGAACACCCAAAUGACUCUGAGUGCAGAGGAUGAACUGUCCGGGGAGCUGAUAAAGGAAAGGUCAGGAGGGUGCUGUAAGGCCCUGGCAUGGCGAGCACUCCAGAUCUGCUGUCACUGGGUGCUCGUGAGCACAGCCAGGGGCUGGAGCUGGGGCCAUUCAGGCAGCCAGAGAAGCUACUCCCUCCAGCAGCACGUAUGUAUUCCCUUCAGCUUGGCAAAUAUUUAUCCAUGCAGUUCUUCUGAACUCAGCAGUAUUCCCCAGGGAAGCUCAGAGCUGAGUGUGAUUCCCGGGAGUGGGCUGUGCUUUCUUCUGGCUGUGCUGCCGACGAGCUCUGUGCAACUUGGGAAGGCCAAGGGUGCCCUUGGGAAUCUCCUAGAGAAAUGGUGAAUGSGUGCCUCAAGUCUUCCUGAACUGGGAAUGCCAUGAGGUGGAACCUGUGUGGAUUGUAGGACAUCAAAAAGAACUUUGUGGUGGGACAGAUAGCUAUUUUAUUGGGAAGGUCUGGACAAAUUUCGAGUAAAUUACAGCAAAAGCAUUUCUAAAUGGGCCCAGCAGUUUCGCAGCACCCCCACAGCCUAGAGGGCCUCAGGAGUGGCAAAGUGGGGACACGUCACCUCCUGCUGCCAUGUAUCCCUAGACAAGGAGAGCACAGGCAGUGCCUGUGUUAGAAACGCGUCCUUUAGGCAGACUGAGGCACUGACCCAAUCCUGCCUCUCCUUCCUGCACAGGGAAGACCCAGGCACCGACUGAGAACYCGCCAUGCAUGAAGAAAAGCGCCUGCUAUGGUUCCAAGGCACAUUAUGUGUGGCUGCAGAGGCUGAGGAUGUUAUCCCAUCAUUUACUUGAAACUAAAAAAUGUUAGUGAGUGAUAAAGUGUACCUCUGCCAGUAUUACAAUGAAUCAUGUGGGRAAAACCUCUGACAGAGGAAGGUAUUACAGAUAAUUGAAUUUUAGAGGCUUCUAAAAUGACCAAAGGAAGUAUUUUUAAAUACAUCUAGUGGUCCUGACUCUAAAGUUCAUGUUUUUGAGUCAAUCAGGAUUCCAGCUUUCUCCGAGAUUUCUGUCUUCCACUGCAGUGAACCUUAUUGCUCGAUAUGUGUAUACAUUGCCUAAACAGAAACGAAGUUUUCAAAUGGUAGCAAUAUCUCUGUCUGCAGGUGAGAUCAAGGACAAACACUUAGGCACUGAAGCUAAGGGAAUGCAGAGAGAAAAAAUGUGGAAAAGCUUCCUGCUGUUCUGAGCAUGGAUGCUGCAAUGCUCAUGGUGGUUAGCAGAACUCGCUUGAAGCUUUUUUUAGAGGUAGUUCAGGAAUUAGGAAGGCUUUGUUACUGCAGUUUUGGCUCUACCGGACCAGACUGAAACCYAUUGUGUGCUACUCUUCCCUCUGACCAUUUGGUGUUUGGCAAACCUUCCUCUAAAAGAAAAAAAAUAAAAGGAGCUAUUGGAAGCAAAAAAYUAAGUGAAAGACAGAGAURUAAAAGAACACAUUUGUGUGUAUAUACAUAUAUACAUAUAUACRUAUAUGUCCCUCUGUGUGUGUAUGYAUGUAUGUAUUUAUGGUUGAACAACAGAAGAAUUCCAGUUCAUGAAGGUCAAACCCAGAACUUGUGAAAGGCACCAGAGGCAGUGGAAGUGCUUGCAGGAGCCAUAUGGGGAACUGGAGUUGCCAGCUCCUCCRUGAAUUUUUUCAAGGUUUUAUCAUAUGAAACACUGUGUACCAGGAAAAUAAUGUAGCAGCUCACUGUUGGGUACCAUCUCUUCCCUCUCAUCUUUUUCUACCUCAUUUGCAAUACGGGCACCCCUUCUCAGUACCUUUACUCUGCUGGCAAGGUAUCUGUGAUGUGGAACUGAUUUUGGGCAAGACAGAGAGGCCAAACUGCAGGUGAAUAGCAGAGCUGCACAGAAUCACUUCCUAUUCAAAUGGAAACCCAGAACAAUCAGGCCCUUAAUUUGUUACAAUUCACUAUCCACAUUUUUGACUUUCUGUAAAUAAUGUGUUAAAUGGAUAAAAGAAUAUACCAUUUUUCCUUCUUUGCUCUGAGUUACUGAUAACAAGU